GCGCUCACUUUGGCAGCACCGACACUAAAACUGAACGCAGAAGUUAGCAUGGCCCCUGCACAAGGAUGGGAGGCAAACUUGUGAAGCAUUCUGUAUUUUU
ensembl:snRNA U6 U6 spliceosomal RNA